CUUCCAAGGGAAAGCUGACUUAAUGCUGUGUUGAGCUCCCCCCUUCACAAGAAGAAAGUUUUCCUGGGAGGCUGGGUGAAGACCGCAGAAUAGAGACUGGCAGCUACUACUUCCUGCCUCUUGGAACGCUCAUUCUGAGGGAAGCCAAACACGAGGCCCGCAGAUUCAGCAAGGAGAAACUUUGAGGAAACAAGCUGACAGCUGGAACCAAAGCCCUAGGCAUGAAGAGCAUGCACAGCUAUUCGAGCCACUCCGGGUGACGUUCCGAUUCCCUUUGUGUCCUGCCUGAAUUCCUGACUCAG